CUGAUUAUGCAUGGGCUGGAGCUGCCUCCUCUAACCUGUUCUUCUCCGAGCCGGGCAGCCGGCAGUCCUCAGCCGCCCACAGAACAGGAGCCGAAACAACCGUUCCCGAAGGCUACAGCGUUUAUUUUUCUCUUUUGGGGGGUUUUGGCGGUUGUUUCAGGGGCUCGCCAACUGGCUCCUUUAAUUAAAAGCUUCAAUAAAAGGCGAUCGCGCCCGGAAUGCAACGGCUCCUCUUCGCGCAGGAUUUGCAUAUUUUUUUAAUGCCCUAAUUUCCUUGAUGUAUGUAAAUGUAGCCGGACGUAGAGGGAGACAGGGCGCUGACGUCAAUGGACGUGACCUCGCAGCUAAACCUUGAACGUGAAGCCGGGAUGGGAGAAAACACGGAGCGGCAGCCGGCGGAGCCCUCGAGCGCAAGCAGCGGCUGCGGAGGCUGAGCCCAGGCCCGAGGAGACAGAGGGGGCUUGCGCCGGCCCCCGGGGAGACGGAGCCGCCGUCUUCUUUCUCCAACGCCGGGCUCCUAGUCUCGCCAGCCUUCCGGCCGUACAUACUGGCUCUUAUCCUGCGCCUCCAGUCCCACCAAAUACAGGUCCUUUUGCUUCCCCCGGAAAAAAAAAAACACGCAAAAUAUUAGCCCAACAAACCAAAACCAACAGCAACAGAUAACAAACCAAACCAAAUCCCCAACUGUUGUAGACAAUGGCAUGGGUAGUUUAUCAGAAAGAGGACCGAAAAUGGAGCAUGAUUUUUUUUGGGGGGAGGGGGGGUAUGGCUUCUCUCCACAAGAAGAGAAGGGGGAGAUCUCAGACAACAGCAAAUCACUCCUAAAACACGAUAAGCUACACGUGUUCCCAAUACGGAGCGGUAAAUCGCCCAGCUGGACUGGUAGAGGCUUCUUGUUUCUACGCCGAAAAGAGCCUGUUUGUGUGCUGCAGCCGCGCUGUGACUCUGGAUCUUGUCUCCUGGCCGGUGCCUCUAUUCCUGCUCAGCUGGAUUUGGGGGACAACACUGCUUGGCGCAGGGAGGACAGCAAAUGAGACUACAAAGAAUCGUGAAAUGAAUAGACAGUCCAACCAACCAAAGACCGGGGGCAGCAGCACGCCAGCAAGACGGCAUCUUCUCGUCCCCAGCCUACAAGCCUUGUGAAAUCGAGGAUCUUCCCCCUAAAACACACACACACAAGAUAUAUGCAAUCAAGCUGCCACCGCUUGGUAAAAAGCUCAUGGUGCCUAACCCAAAAGGAUCAGGAGCAGAUCCUUGAAUCAGCUGUCACUUCUAUAGAAUGGAAUGUUUUGUUGUUGUUUUUUUUUUUCCUUCCUCCUUAACCUGCGCUGGAAACUGCCGUUGGCUUUAUACAUCUCUAUAGAGGGAGGCUAAAGAGUCUUGCGUGAGAAUGAAGCAAUUUACAAUGCAAAUAGAGGCCUGUGAAGGGACGGAUGCUGCUGCUCGCUCUUAACUGCUUGCUGCACCUUAAUAGCUGGUUUUAUUUUCUGAUAUUAAUAGAUGAAUUGUUGGCUAACGCUGCCGGAGAUUACUUGCUGAAAGGAGGAAAAAAAGUUCGGAAUAAACUUUGAAGGCAACAGAUCUCGUUUGGAUGUUUUAACCGCACACACAGAAACAGAAACCAGGUCCUAUUUACACAAAAAGAGGAGUCUUAAGCGCCCCAUCUCCUGGAGGACUACUCUUCGGUACUGCGGGAAAGGAUCGGGAUCUGGAGUCUGGCAAGAGGAAGACCAAGCGUGUGAGGGAAGCGAGUUGUUAUCUUUGGUUAUCUAGCUGUAUGAGUGUAUUGGUCUUCAUAAAGCUAGAUAACCGAAAGUAAAAACUCCUUCAAGAUCGCCGGGGAGCGUGUGAGAAUGAAAGACUACAACCAAGAGACAGUAAAUACCAGAAAGGUCAGGACUACUUAUUGAAUCUAACUUUGUUUUUGUUUGCUUGUUUUUUCCUUAUGAUUAAAGGUGGGAUUAGAAGAAAUUAAGUGACCCCAAGAUGCUAAUAUCUAAAGAUGCUAGAUGCUUUGAGAGGGGUUGUUAAGGUACAGCCCUACCCUAAUGAGUAAAGAUGCAUGUGCAACUUAUUCUAUUUUAAGGCAAAAGUUUAUAUAUGAGGGUUGGUUUGUUUUAAGAAAGCUGUUGUAGAGAUGCCUGGCAUUUAGUUUUAAAAUGAUUCCGUAAUACGUACAUUUAGGAAGUCCCCUUCGGAGGUCUCCCCUCCCUCACAAAAUCGGAAGAUUUGUGUUUGGAAUCUACAUGUAUGUGGGCUGUAUUUCAAAUUAUAUGAAAUCAGACUUUCAAAAAAGUUUAUACUGGAAGGUUAAUAAUUUAUAUCAACUAAGGACUUAGAGCUAGCAGGGGAAAUGCAAAAAAAGGAAAAAGCGAAGGCUGAUUUUUAUUCUUCUAUUCAAAAUACAAGGACAGAUGCUUCUCUGUUGCAAGAGGGUUUCCUUGAGGAAGCUACUGAAGCAGAAAGACAUGAUGGAGACGAGAUCGCCUCCCCUCUUGUCAAAGUGUUAAAAAAAUGUUCUGUCUUACUCUGCGCCUAGCGUUGGAAAUGAAAGUGACAUUUACGCCACAACCCACGUGUGCGCCUCCUCUCUUUUUGUUUAAGGAUGAUCAGGUCUAUCCAGGAAACAGCUCUGGCAUCCCAAACUGAAAUAAUUAGGACGUAUAUAGACCUGACAAAAAUGGAAAGGGGGUGGGGAAUCUGAGGGUCUGUCUUGCCUAAUUGAUUCCGCUAAACGGAAUGCAGGAGAUGUGAACGGCAGGACGCUCCGAUUCCCACGCUCGGGGGCAAGUGGUAAAGCGGGGCCCGGCAGCCUAUGACAGACAGCCCUGUUGGGGGGUGGGGGUAUGAAAAAAACAUCAAGUGCACACACCAUACUCAUCUCCAUCACUUAAGAAAGUAGAGGCAUUUCCCACCCACAGCCAUCUGCAGCCUCCCAAAUGGCAACACCAACUGGUCUGUAGCUGCUGCAUACUGCCUGUUUCUGUUAAUGUUAUAACCGCUGUUUAAUCUGACCACAAUUAAGUUUGGCUUUCUUAUUCGGUUGAGAUUUCCAAAAUUCAAGGAAAGCUGGUAGAAAGUGAUUGCAAGCUGGUAGAAAGUGAUUACUGUCUGCCCCUCAUGUCAAAUUCUCAGUUCUUAUUUUGGCCUUGUGACCACCUCUUGGCUUUUGUUUUGGGUGGGUUAUAUUUUAAGAUAAAUAUCUGUAUAUAUGUAUCUAUGACCUCCUCAGGCUGUUUACUUCUUAGCAUGAUACAUCUAGGAACUUGGCCUAAUGAUGCUAGUAAACACACUGGGAGUAAAUUAUAAAAUCAUCAACCUGUAGAACAAUAACAAUGUGAUAAAAGGUUAUUUUGGACUAGUUCCAGGUAGAUGCAUUCUAAACAGUCAUAUCUAUUUAAUCUAAAAAUAACUGUGCUUAGCAGAAAACUUUGGUGUUUUGGAGGUCCCCAUUGUAAUCUUUUCCACAUGUCACCAAGCAAACAUAUAAAUACAAACAUUGCAAUUAGAAAAUACCCAAAAUGGCCUGUUAUUUUCCACAUGGCCUAGAUUAUUUGCAAUCCCAAAUAUACCAUUUUUCUUCAAAAGCACUAUAUUUUCCUUUAUAGCUUCAAUUCCUUAUAAGACUUCAGAUUGGAGAAGCCUGUAAAAUCACUAUUGGUUUGUUAGAAAUUCUGAGAGACUUUAUUAAUGUAAAUAAAUUCCCAGUUUGGCUGCUGAACACGUGCCAAAGUUUUACUACUGUAGUGACCUUGGAGACGACCCUUGUUUAUUUACAUUUGAAGCACUGUUUGUGCAAACAACCUUUCAUUGUUAAGUGCCUGUAUUCCUUUCAUUUACUUCACGUCCAGGGGUGCUAUUUACCUAGAACCAUUGUCUACUACAAUUAACAUUUACAUUACAAAGUGUGUGGUUUUCUUUCUCAAGAAGGUUCAAUUAAGGCAAUAAGAUGUUUGCUGGGGAAACCUAUUGUUUACUGAAAGCACUCAAUGGAGUCAAAUUACUGAAGCUUUUGCCUACAUCUUGGUCUUUUAUGUAAAUGUGUUAAAUAUAACAUCUAAGGAAAAUAAACAAUAUUAUAAUUAUGUGUUUGCCAUUGUCACAUCAAAGUUGCUUUGUAUCAUACUAAUGUUACAUGACUUAUCGAUCAAUAAAAAUACAUUUCAAUGUUA